rnacentral:piRNA from 1 species
UAAAGAAGUUAAUUUUUUAUUUUUUAAAAAG